GAUGAACGCUGGCGGCGCGCCUAACACAUGCAAGUCGAACGAUUAAAGCACCUUCGGGUGUGUAUAAAGUAGCGAACGGCUGAGUAACACGUGGGCAACCUGCCCCUCUCAUUGGGAUAGCCACGGGAAACCGUGGAUAAUACCGAAUACUUCGAGACUUCCGCAUGGAAGACUCGAGAAAGCUCCGGCGGAGAGGGAUGGGCCCGCGGCCUGUUAGCUUGUUGGUGGGGUAACGGCCUACCAAGGCAAUGAUGGGUAGCUGGGUUGAGAGACCGACCAGCCAGAUUGGGACUGAGACACGGCCCAGACUCCUACGGGAGGCAGCAGUGGGGAAUCUUGCACAAUGGGCGAAAGCCUGAUGCAGCGACGCCGCGUGCGGGAUGAAGGCCUUCGGGUUGUAAACCGCUUUCAGCAGGGACGAGGCGAAAGUGACGGUACCUGCAGAAGAAGCCCCGGCUAACUACGUGCCAGCAGCCGCGGUAAUACGUAGGGGGCAAGCGUUAUCCGGAUUCAUUGGGCGUAAAGCGCUCGUAGGCGGUCUGUUAGGUCGGGAGUUAAAUCCGGGGGCUCAACCCCCGUUCGCUCCCGAUACCGGCAGACUUGAGUUUGGUAGGGGAAGGUGGAAUUCCUAGUGUAGCGGUGGAAUGCGCAGAUAUUAGGAAGAACACCAGUGGCGAAGGCGGCCUUCUGGGCCAUAACUGACGCUGAGGAGCGAAAGCUAGGGGAGCAAACAGG
rnacentral:rRNA from 1 species